rnacentral:rRNA from 1 species
UACAGAGGGUGCGAGCGUUAAUCGGAAUUACUGGGCGUAAAGCGCGUGUAGGCGGUCGGGCAAGUCGGGUGUGAAAGCCCAGGGCUCAACCCUGGAAGUGCAUUCGAUACUGCCUGGCUAGAGUCCCGGAGAGGAUGGUGGAACUCUCGGUGUAGAGGUGAAAUUCGUAGAUAUCGAGAAGAACACCGGUGGCGAAGGCGGCCAUCUGGACGGUGACUGACGCUGAGACGCGAAAGCGUGGGGAGCAAACAGG